CUUAACGGUACAUUCCAGUGGGAGUAUCCCUCUUGUCCAGCAGUGCCUGAUGGGAGAAAAGGUCUGAAUGUUAACUCCCCCAUGUAGUCCCCUACUGUAUUACCCCUGCUAUGUCAGUAUGGAAACCCCUUGCAUGGGGACUUGCAUAAAUACUGGAUGCUGUGAAUAAAAACCUCGGUUGACUCCCAGAACUGUGUCUCGUCCGGUUACUAGGGGAUUUGGGAUAUUGCCUUACUUUUCAGCGCUGACCGUAGAUUACCUUCUUUACCAGCGGAGAUCGUGGAAUUUAAUAUUGCC